rnacentral:rRNA from 1 species
AUGAAGAGAUAUUUUUCAUCCGUGGCCGCAACAGAAGUGUCUACACCCAGAGUUUUAGCAGGGAAUCAAGGGGCCGGGAGGACUGAAGCAACUCCAGAAAAUGAAACAGCUGGAGAAAUGGGACCACCGCCUUCAAUCUCAACUCGAGAAAGCAACAUUUUUGUUAUUCCUGAUUCUGCUCGUGGUCAACUAAGGGAAGAUGACAAAAUUGUAUGGCCCUCGAUAUGUGCAAAGCUUUCAGAGGAGCUGCAACACACAAGAAGCAAAGUGAGUGCCCUUGCUUAUGAGAAGGCAAGCUACUAA